rnacentral:rRNA from 1 species
AUUGAACGCUGGCGGCAUGCCUUACACAUGCAAGUCGAACGGCAGCACGGGAGCAAUCCUGGUGGCGAGUGGCGAACGGGUGAGUAAUAUAUCGGAACGUGCCCAGUCGUGGGGGAUAACGUAGCGAAAGCUACGCUAAUACCGCAUACGAUCUAUGGAUGAAAGCGGGGGAUCGCAAGACCUCGCGCGAUUGGAGCGGCCGAUAUCAGAUUAGGUAGUUGGUGAGGUAAAGGCUCACCAAGCCGACGAUCUGAAGCUGGUCUGAGAGGACGACCAGCCACACUGGGACUGAGACACGGCCCAGACUCCUACGGGAGGCAGCAGUGGGGAAUUUUGGACAAUGGGCGCAAGCCUGAUUCAGCAAUGCCGCGUGCAGGAUGAAGGCCUUCGGGUUGUAAACUGCUUUUGUACGGAACGAAAUGGCGAGCUCUAAUACAGUUUGCUAAUGACGGUACCGUAAGAAUAAGCACCGGCUAACUACGUGCCAGCCGCCGCAGUAA